rnacentral:rRNA from 1 species
UCUACAUGUAAGCUACUGUUUGGAGAUGAGCCCGCGUACCAUUAGCUUGUUGGUAGGGUAAUGGCCUACCAAGGCUUCGAUGGUUAGCUGGUCUGAGAGGAUGAUCAGCCACACUGGAACUGACACACGGUCCAGACUCCUACGGGAGGCAGCAGUGAGGAAUUUUGCGCAAUGGGGGAAACCCUGACGCAGCAACGCCGCGUGAGUGAUGAAGGCUUUCGGGUCGUAAAACUCUGUCAAGUGGGAAGAACAUGUUUGAUGCUAAUACCAUCAUGCAUUGACGGUACCACUGAAGGAAGCACCGGCUAACUCCGUGCCAGCAGCCGCGGUAAUACGGGGGGUGCAAGCGUUAUUCGGAAUUAUUGGGCGUAAAGGGCGCGUAGGCGGUCUUUUAAGUCAGAUGUGAAAGCCCGGGGCUCAACCCCGGAAGUGCAUUUGAAACUAAGGGACUUGAGUAUGGGAGAGGGAAGUGGAAUUCCUGGUGUAGAGGUGAAAUUCGUAGAUAUCAUGAGGAACACCGGUGGCGAAGGCGACUUCCUGGACCAAUACUGACGCUAAGGCGCGAAAGCGUGGGGAGCAAACAGGAUUAGAUACCAUGGUAGUCCACGCCGUAAACGAUGAGUACUAGCUGUUGGGAUGCGACGACAUCUUAGUGGCGCAGCAAACGCGAUAAGUACUCCGCCUGGGGAAUACGGCCGCAAGGCUAAAACUCAAAGGAAUUGACGGGGGCCCGCACAACCGGUGGAGCAUGUGGUUUAAUUCGAUGCAACGCGAAGAACCUUACCUACCCUUGACAUCCUCGGAAUCUUGCAGAGAUGUGAGAGUGCCAGAAAUGGAAUCGAGAGACAGGUGCUGCAUGGCUGUCGUCAGCUCGUGUUGUGAGAUGUUGGGUUAAGUCCCGUAACGAGCGCAACCCCUGUUCUUAGUUGCUAAUCACGAUUUAUCGUGAAGGACUCUAAGAAGACUGCCGGUGAUAAACCGGAGGAAGGUGGGGACGACGUCAAGUCAUCAUGGCCUUUAUGGGUAGGGCAACACACGUGCUACAAUGGUGCGUACAGAGGGAGGCGAAACAGUGAUGUGGAGCGAACCUCAGAAAGCGCAUCGUAGUCCGGAUUGAAGUCUGCAACUCGACUUCAUGAAGUCGGAAUCGCUAGUAAUCGCGAAUCAGAAUGUCGCGGUGAAUACGUUCUCGGGCCUUGU